CAGUCGUACCGGCGGAUAAUCAGCCUUUCGGGUGCGAUUCUGUGGGGCGUGAGGAGCUUAACCGCCUUCAUGUUUUGCAUAUUCGUGCACAUUUGGUGUACUUGUCCGUGUGGUGGGUUAACAUCAAUUUCGGUCGUCAUAAAAUGAUUGGAGGAAUGUAGCUUUGAUCUCGUAUCGAAGUGUUAUAGACUCUGGUAGAUGUGACGAUUGGGAUUGAGGAUUGGCAACGGAUACCCUUCGGGGCUACUCGUCUGAUCUCUGAAGGUUGCUCCGGUACCGAAAGCGUGCUUACGGUCAUUUAAGUUGACGGUCAACAGGUUAGAACGCGAUUACAUUCGUUAAGGACGUUGACGUAAUGGCUUAAACGACCCGUCUGAAACACGGACCAAGGAGUCUAACAUAUGU
rnacentral:rRNA from 1 species